rnacentral:rRNA from 2 species
UGCCUAAUACAUGCAAGUCGAACGAGUUCUCGUUGAUGAUCGGUGCUUGCACCGAGAUUCAACAUGGAACGAGUGGCGGACGGGUGAGUAACACGUGGGUAACCUGCCCUUAAGUGGGGGAUAACAUUUGGAAACAGAUGCUAAUACCGCAUAGAUCCAAGAACCGCAUGGUUCUUGGCUGAAAGAUGGCGUAAGCUAUCGCUUUUGGAUGGACCCGCGGCGUAUUAGCUAGUUGGUGAGGUAAUGGCUCACCAAGGCGAUGAUACGUAGCCGAACUGAGAGGUUGAUCGGCCACAUUGGGACUGAGACACGGCCCAAACUCCUACGGGAGGCAGCAGUAGGGAAUCUUCCACAAUGGACGCAAGUCUGAUGGAGCAACGCCGCGUGAGUGAAGAAGGCUUUCGGGUCGUAAAACUCUGUUGUUGGAGAAGAAUGGUCGGCAGAGUAACUGUUGUCGGCGUGACGGUAUCCAACCAGAAAGCCACGGCUAACUACGUGCCAGCAGCCGCGGUAAUACGUAGGUGGCAAGCGUUAUCCGGAUUUAUUGGGCGUAAAGCGAGCGCAGGCGGUUUUUUAAGUCUGAUGUGAAAGCCCUCGGCUUAACCGAGGAAGCGCAUCGGAAACUGGGAAACUUGAGUGCAGAAGAGGACAGUGGAACUCCAUGUGUAGCGGUGAAAUGCGUAGAUAUAUGGAAGAACACCAGUGGCGAAGGCGGCUGUCUGGUCUGUAACUGACGCUGAGGCUCGAAAGCAUGGGUAGCGAACAGGAUUAGAUACCCUGGUAGUCCAUGCCGUAAACGAUGAAUGCUAGGUGUUGGAGGGUUUCCGCCCUUCAGUGCCGCAGCUAACGCAUUAAGCAUUCCGCCUGGGGAGUACGACCGCAAGGUUGAAACUCAAAGGAAUUGACGGGGGCCCGCACAAGCGGUGGAGCAUGUGGUUUAAUUCGAAGCAACGCGAAGAACCUUACCAGGUCUUGACAUCUUUUGAUCACCUGAGAGAUCAGGUUUCCCCUUCGGGGGCAAAAUGACAGGUGGUGCAUGGUUGUCGUCAGCUCGUGUCGUGAGAUGUUGGGUUAAGUCCCGCAACGAGCGCAACCCUUAUGACUAGUUGCCAGCAUUUAGUUGGGCACUCUAGUAAGACUGCCGGUGACAAACCGGAGGAAGGUGGGGAUGACGUCAAAUCAUCAUGCCCCUUAUGACCUGGGCUACACACGUGCUACAAUGGAUGGUACAACGAGUUGCGAGACCGCGAGGUCAAGCUAAUCUCUUAAAGCCAUUCUCAGUUCGGACUGUAGGCUGCAACUCGCCUACACGAAGUCGGAAUCGCUAGUAAUCGCGGAUCAGCACGCCGCGGUGAAUACGUUCCCGGGCCUUGUACACACCGCCCGUCACACCAUGAGAGUUUGUAACACCCGAAGCCGGUGGCGUAACCCUUUUAGGGAGCGAGCCGUCUAA